rnacentral:rRNA from 1 species
UACGUAGGGUGCAAGCGUUAAUCGGAAUUACUGGGCGUAAAGCGUGCGCAGGCGGUUGUGCAAGACAGAUGUGAAAUCCCCGGGCUUAACCUGGGAACUGCAUUUGUGACUGCACGGCUAGAGUGUGUCAGAGGGGGGUAGAAUUCCACGUGUAGCAGUGAAAUGCGUAGAUAUGUGGAGGAAUACCGAUGGCGAAGGCAGGCCCCCUGGGUCAAGAUUGACGCUCAUGCACGAAAAGCGUGGGGGAGCAAACAGG